rnacentral:rRNA from 1 species
UGGGGAAUUUUGGACAAUGGGCGAAAGCCUGAUCCAGCAAUGCCGCGUGUGUGAAGAAGGCCUUCGGGUUGUAAAGCACUUUUGUCCGGAAAGAAAUCCUUGGCUCUAAUACAGUCGGGGGAUGACGGUACCGGAAGAAUAAGCACCGGCUAACUACGUGCCAGCAGCCGCGGUAAUACGUAGGGUGCAAGCGUUAAUCGGAAUUACUGGGCGUAAAGCGUGCGCAGGCGGUUUGCUAAGACCGAUGUGAAAUCCCCGGGCUCAACCUGGGAACUGCAUUGGUGACUGGCAGGCUAGAGUAUGGCAGAGGGGGGUAGAAUUCCACGUGUAGCAGUGAAAUGCGUAGAGAUGUGGAGGAAUACCGAUGGCGAAGGCAGCCCCCUGGGCCAAUACUGACGCUCAUGCACGAAAGCGUGGGGAGCAAACAGGAUUAGAUACCCUGGUAGUCCACGCCCUAAACGAUGUCAACUAGUUGUUGGGGACUCAUUUCCUUAGUAACGUAGCUAACGCGUGAAGUUGACCGCCUGGGGAGUACGGUCGCAAGAUUAAAACUCAAAGGAAUUGACGGGGUCAUAGCUGUUUCCU